UCUUGUAAUUUAAAAAGAAAGCAAGGAAGAAAGAGGGAGAGAGAGUAGCUGGGCUGGGCGAGAUCGCCGGUAUAUUUGAAAAGAGAUUCCGGCAGGCCAGGAUGAAUAGAGAAAGUUUUUUAAAGAAAGAAUACUACGUAGUUGGAUUUUCUUUUCUUUGAAUUCAACACUCAAUCAAACGUUUCAGUUUCAGACAAAAAUCCCCACAGUUGCCCUUACUUAAACGAGUCCUCACCACUCCCAAAGGCCACAGUCCACACACACACACACACACAACACCAAUAACCAUCCAUCUAUAAUCUACAGUUCCUCCUGCAAAUAUACCCCCACCACCAUCUCCUCCACUAAAAACCACAACGAUCUCUUUUUCAAGAUUCCAAAGCCAAUUCCUCCUCCUUUCAAGAUUUUAGGUUAAAAAGGAAGCAUUUUUCUGCUAUAUACAAAAGCGAAAACCCAGAGGAAAAAAAAAAGGAACAAAUUUCUUUUAACUUCGUAUAUUUUUGAGAUAAAUAUAAUACCCUUUGCUUUUUCAAGAUUAGAAUUUUGGUUCUUGGUUUCUUAUAGCUAGUCAGUCAUGGAACCACCAGAAAAUUACAGCACAAGUACCUCUUUUGCAGUGCCUUUGGAAGAUGCCCAGAAGAUAAUUCUGAGGUGGGACUCAACAGCAUCAGAAGAAGCAAGAGAAAGAAUGAUCUUUGGUGGAGAUCGUCAAGAAGUGGAUCUAUACUUACAAGCUGUUGAUGAAAUCCAAAAGUCUAUGUCAUCGACUUCAAUAUCACCUCCUUCAUCCCAUCAUCAUGAUGAAGAUAGUAACAGUAACAAAGUCAACUCUGCUAUACAGAUCGCCAUGGCUAGACUUGAAGAUGAGUUCCGCAAUAUCCUUAUUAACCAUACAAGCCCUGUUGAAGUAGACUCUCUUUUCAUUCCUGAUCAUGCUCCUGCUCCGGCUUCUUCUUUGAACCACAAUACUAGUUCGGUAGGAAGCAGCAGUGAAUUUGAUCAGGAGGAAGUUGGUGGUGGUGAUCAUGUUGAUGCUUUAGAUCCUAUACAGCGUGCAGAUUCGAGUAAUAGUAGUGCUAGUUAUCGAUCUACGAGUAGUAUUCGUGAGAUCGAUCUGAUUCCUCAAGAAGCUGUAGCAGACCUUCAGUCCAUUGCGAAACGGAUGGUCUCUGCUGGGUACUUUAGGGAGUGUAUCCAGGUCUAUGGGAGUGUGAGAAAAUCAGCUGUGGAUGCGAGUUUUCGGAGACUUGGGAUUGAGAAGUUGAGUAUUGGGGAUAUUCAGAGACUAGAAUGGGAGGCUUUGGAGACCAAGAUCAGGAGGUGGAUUAGGGCGGCCAAGGUUUGUGUUAGGAUAUUGUUUGCUAGUGAGAAGAAGCUUUGUGAGGAGAUUUUUUAUGGGAUUGGUACUGCUAUCGACGAUGCUUGUUUUAUGGAGACUGUCAAGGGUCCAGCGAUUCAAUUGUUUAAUUUUGCUGAGGCAAUUAGUAUUAGCAGGAGAUCUCCUGAGAAAAUGUUCAAGAUUUUGGACUUACACGAUGCUUUGAUGGACUUGUCGCCUGAUAUUGAGGUUGUCUUUGAAUCAAAAUCUGCUGAUUCCAUUCGAGUCCAGGCUGCUGAGAUUUUGUCAAGAUUGGCUGAGGCAGCUAGGGGGAUUUUAUCUGAGUUUGAGAGUGCUGUUUUGCGUGAGCCCUCGAGGGUUCCGGUGCCUGGAGGGACAAUUCAUCCGUUGACAAGGUAUGUGAUGAAUUACAUCAGUUUGAUUUCGGAUUAUAAGCAGACCUUGAUUGGGCUUAUUAUGUCAAAACCAUCUACUGGCUCGAGAUAUUCGGGUGAUCCAACUACCCCUGAUAUGGAAUUUACUGAACUAGAGGGGAAAACCCCUUUAGCCCUUCAUUUGAUUUGGAUUAUUGUGAUUUUGCAAUUCAAUUUGGAGGGCAAGUCCAAGCACUACAAGGAUGCAUCGUUGGCCCAUCUGUUUAUAAUGAACAAUGUUCACUAUAUUGUUCAGAAGAUUAAAGGGUCACCAGAAUUGAGAGAAAUGAUUGGAGAUGAUUACUUGAGAAAGCUAACAGGAAAAUUCAGGCAGGCGGCAACUAGUUACCAGAGAGCAACCUGGGUGAGUGUUUUGUAUUGCUUGAGGGAUGAGGGGUUACAUGUAAGUGGGAGUUUCUCUUCUGGUGUCUCAAAGAGUGCUUUGAGAGAGAGAUUUAAGACCUUCAAUGCUAUGUUUGAGGACGUUCACAGGACUCAAGCAACAUGGUUGAUUCCGGAUUCUCAGCUUCGGGAGGAGCUUCGAAUUUCUAUAUCUGAGAAGUUGAUCCCAGCUUAUAGGUCAUUUCUUGGACGGUUCAGGAGUCAUAUAGAGAGUGGAAAGCAUCCAGAAAAUUAUAUCAAGUAUUCAGUGGAGGAUUUAGAGAGUGCUGUCUUGGAUUUCUUCGAAGGUUCUCCUGCAUCUCAGCACCUGAGGAGGAGAUCUCAGUAAAGGAAUGGAUAAGUUUUGCCGAUUUAGAAACUAGGACACAUUCUUUGAAUUUUUUGUGAAGUGUUUGGGUGAUGUGGUUCUGGUUAAUAGGGGGCUGCCCUGUGCACUCUAGUUCUUUUAUGUAUCAUCAGUUAAUUUUCCAUGGAUCAGAACAAGUAGAGUUCUUUGGGAAGAUUUGGUGUAGCUCUCUCUUGAAUAGCCAGGUCUCUCAACCUGAAUGCUUCCACACUGUUGAUGCCAGAUACAUUUGAAGGUUGAGAUCCGUCACAGACAUAAAGUCCUGCAAGAUAUGACAAAAACUGGGACCCUUUUGUGCUUGAAUAAAUUUGGAAGCUUUUCAAGUCAUCUCAUUUCUUUAACAACGUAAUCUCCAGCUGGCUUUAGGGUAACUUUGACAAUUUGUGGAUUCAACUUUCGAUUCGGUUUGGAUACAUAAAGAAUUCCUACUGUAUACGUUUUUCUAAUUCAUUCGAACUCGGCUAGUAGUUUUGUCAUUGCUUGUCUUGCUUGAAUUUAGUGACCAAGUACUUCAGAUAUACAGUGU